rnacentral:rRNA from 1 species
UUAAGCGACUAAGCGUACACGGUGGAUGCCCUGGCAGUCAGAGGCGAUGAAGGACGUGCUAAUCUGCGAUAAGCGUCGGUAAGGUGAUAUGAACCGUUAUAACCGGCGAUUUCCGAAUGGGGAAACCCAGUGUGUUUCGACACACUAUCAUUAACUGAAUCCAUAGGUUAAUGAGGCGAACCGGGGGAACUGAAACAUCUAAGUACCCCGAGGAAAAGAAAUCAACCGAGAUUCCCCCAGUAGCGGCGAGCGAACGGGGAGGAGCCCAGAGUCUGAAUCAGUGUGUGUGUUAGUGGAAGCGUCUGGAAAGGCGCGCGAUACAGGGUGACAGCCCCGUACACAAAAAUGCACAUACUGUGAGCUCGAUGAGUAGGGCGGGACACGUGGUAUCCUGUCUGAAUAUGGGGGGACCAUCCUCCAAGGCUAAAUACUCCUGACUGACCGAUAGUGAACCAGUACCGUGAGGGAAAGGCGAAAAGAACCCCGGCGAGGGGAGUGAAAAAGAACCUGAAACCGUGUACGUACAAGCAGUGGGAGCCUCUUUUAUGGGGUGACUGCGUACCUUUUGUAUAAUGGGUCAGCGACUUAUAUUCUGUAGCAAGGUUAACCGAAUAGGGGAGCCGAAGGGAAACCGAGUCUUAACUGGGCGUUAAGUUGCAGGGUAUAGACCCGAAACCCGGUGAUCUAGCCAUGGGCAGGUUGAAGGUUGGGUAACACUAACUGGAGGACCGAACCGACUAAUGUUGAAAAAUUAGCGGAUGACUUGUGGCUGGGGGUGAAAGGCCAAUCAAACCGGGAGAUAGCUGGUUCUCCCCGAAAGCUAUUUAGGUAGCGCCUCGUGAAUUCAUCUCCGGGGGUAGAGCACUGUUUCGGCAAGGGGGUCAUCCCGACUUACCAACCCGAUGCAAACUGCGAAUACCGGAGAAUGUUAUCACGGGAGACACACGGCGGGUGCUAACGUCCGUCGUGAAGAGGGAAACAACCCAGACCGCCAGCUAAGGUCCCAAAGUCAUGGUUAAGUGGGAAACGAUGUGGGAAGGCCCAGACAGCCAGGAUGUUGGCUUAGAAGCAGCCAUCAUUUAAAGAAAGCGUAAUAGCUCACUGGUCGAGUCGGCCUGCGCGGAAGAUGUAACGGGGCUAAACCAUGCACCGAAGCUGCGGCAGCGACGCUUAUGCGUUGUUGGGUAGGGGAGCGUUCUGUAAGCCUGUGAAGGUGUGCUGUGAGGCAUGCUGGAGGUAUCAGAAGUGCGAAUGCUGACAUAAGUAACGAUAAAGCGGGUGAAAAGCCCGCUCGCCGGAAGACCAAGGGUUCCUGUCCAACGUUAAUCGGGGCAGGGUGAGUCGACCCCUAAGGCGAGGCCGAAAGGCGUAGUCGAUGGGAAACAGGUUAAUAUUCCUGUACUUGGUGUUACUGCGAAGGGGGGACGGAGAAGGCUAUGUUGGCCGGGCGACGGUUGUCCCGGUUUAAGCGUGUAGGCUGGUUUUCCAGGCAAAUCCGGAAAAUCAAGGCUGAGGCGUGAUGACGAGGCACUACGGUGCAGAAGCAACAAAUGCCCUGCUUCCAGGAAAAGCCUCUAAGCAUCAGGUAACAUCAAAUCGUACCCCAAACCGACACAGGUGGUCAGGUAGAGAAUACCAAGGCGCUUGAGAGAACUCGGGUGAAGGAACUAGGCAAAAUGGUGCCGUAACUUCGGGAGAAGGCACGCUGAUAUGUAGGUGAAGUCCCUCGCGGAUGGAGCUGAAAUCAGUCGAAGAUACCAGCUGGCUGCAACUGUUUAUUAAAAACACAGCACUGUGCAAACACGAAAGUGGACGUAUACGGUGUGACGCCUGCCCGGUGCCGGAAGGUUAAUUGAUGGGGUCAGCGCAAGCGAAGCUCUUGAUCGAAGCCCCGGUAAACGGCGGCCGUAACUAUAACGGUCCUAAGGUAGCGAAAUUCCUUGUCGGGUAAGUUCCGACCUGCACGAAUGGCGUAAUGAUGGCCAGGCUGUCUCCACCCGAGACUCAGUGAAAUUGAACUCGCUGUGAAGAUGCAGUGUACCCGCGGCAAGACGGAAAGACCCCGUGAACCUUUACUAUAGCUUGACACUGAACAUUGAGCCUUGAUGUGUAGGAUAGGUGGGAGGCUUU